AUCUGUUAUAGCUCUGUAACGGGAUGCGAUCUGAAGCCUCCUGAAGAUUCCAUCCAACUCCUCUUUCGACACGUCCACGUCGUGCAGGGUGGUAACAUGGGCCCAAGUCCAACCUUUCUGUCGGACGACGGCUCAUCGCUAGGGAGGAAGGG
rnacentral:ribozyme from 1 species